rnacentral:ncRNA from 1 species
UGAAAGACAAGGAAGGGGAAAAUAGCAGACCCACUGCCAUCAGAGAGGAACGGUCAUCGGCUGAAAGCCGUUCCGGGAAACGGCUGCUUGGUUCGCCCUGGAGUUUCGGCGGGGAAAUACGCCGGCGGUUGGUCCACCGUUAUCAGACAAUGAAGUGCGUAUGGGUUUCUGUACGAAUGUUCGGGUGGUACCGCGGAAGAAUGUUGCCUUUCGUCCCGUUU